GGGCCCGCACAAGUAGUGGAGCAUGUGGUUUAAUUCGAAGAUACGCGCAGAACCUUACCAACACUUGACAUGUUCGUCGCGACUCUAAGAGAUUAGAGUUUUCGGUUCGGCCGGACGAAACACAGGUGCUGCAUGGCUGUCGUCAGCUCGUGUCGUGAGAUGUUGGGUUAAGUCCCGCAACGAGCGCAACCCUCACUUUUAGUUGCCAUCAUUUAGUUGGGCACUCUGAAAGAACUGCCAGUGAUAAGCUGGAGGAAGGUGGGGAUGACGUCAAGUCCUCAUGGCCCUUACGUGUUGGGCUACACACGUGCUACAAUGGUAUCUACAGAGGGAAGCGAGACAGUGAUGUGGAGCGGACCCCUUAAAGAAUGUCGUAGUCCGGAUUGGAGUCUGCAACUCGACUCCAUGAAGUAGGAAUCGCUAGUAAUCG
rnacentral:rRNA from 1 species